rnacentral:rRNA from 1 species
CAGUCGCCGCGGUAAUACGUUGGGUGCGAGCGUUAAUCGGAAUUACUGAGCGUAAAGCGUGCGCAGGCGGUUAUAUAAGUCAGAUGUGAAAUCCCCGGGCUCAACCUUGGAACUGCAUUUGAGGCUGUAUGGCUAGAGUGUGUCAGAGGGGGGUAGAAUUCCACGUGUAGCAGUGAAAUGCGUAGAUAUGUGGAGGAAUACCGAUGGCGAAGGCAGCCCCCUGGGCCAAUACUGACGCUCAUGCACGAAAGCGUGGGAAGCAAACAGGAUUAGAUACCCCAGUAGUCCCUGUCUCUUAUAC